GGUUAGUCCCAUGUAUGUGAAACAGAAAGAUUCUUGCUAAAGCAGAAUAAGGGGAGUAGGAAAAAUCCCAGAAGAAGCUGUGCAACAAAAAAAGUGAAUUGUGCAGGCAUAUAUUUGAAGUUCUGUAUUCAGAAAGAAAAUAUGGCAAACAAGGACUAUGAGGAAGUACUGGGAAGAGGAUGCAAAUAUUCUGAGGGGAAUUACUGUUGCUCAUUUCUCUUCCUCAGCUGAUCAGUCUGCUUUUGGGUGAGAUAUUGAGAAGAUGUGAUGCGUCACCUCUCCAUCACUGCGGGGAAUUUGCUUAAAGGCAGACUUCACACAUGUAAUCUGCUCAUGUCUGUUGCUAAUAUAGGUAUGAUUGGGAGGGAUGCACUCCUAGCUGAGCAGGAAAUGUAGUGUCAUUGAAACGUUCUCUGACAGGGAGACUCUGAGGGCUGUAUUCCCCCAUACCUCGUAUCUUCUUUAUUAGUGCUGCUGUUUGUAAGUCCACACUCCAACCUAAAUGGCACAGGGCCACUUUUACAGCUGGGUCUCCAUCGUUUUUUGGGUACUGUUUCAGGAGGAAGAAGUCGCGCUGUUGUUCUCCAAGCAAAAGACUAAAUGCACAUGCUGUCUGGCAGUUUUCUAGCCAAAAUAUGACACAAAUUCCCUUGGACAGCUUAGCUCCUACAGGAAAAGAUGGCUUGGCAGCUGAACUACGGAAGUUCUGUAAUGACCACCACGCUCAUUAGACAAUGAAAAGCUGUGCAGGGGUAAAAAAAAAAAGGCAAUGCACGUGGGUGGCAAGGUGGGUGAAUAUUAUUUCUACCUAUCCUUUCAGGUUCUCAGAGGAAUCACUGGAUAUAUAAAUUAAGCUACAAGCCACAGGAAUUACUGGAUAUAUAAAUUAAGCUACAAGCCAUUUGCUGACUCUCAUCAACCUUAUUAAGUGGUAGGGAAUCAGUAGUUCAGUGCAUUUAUGCAUUUAGAGAAAUAAAGCCAUGAUUAGUUCAUUGGACA
rnacentral:lncRNA from 1 species